rnacentral:rRNA from 1 species
AACGAACGCUGGCGGCAGGCUUAACACAUGCAAGUCGAACGCACCUUUCGGGGUGAGUGGCAGACGGGUGAGUAACGCGUGGGAAUCUACCCUUCUCUACGGGAUAGCUCCGGGAAACUGGAAUUAAUACCGUAUACGUCCUGAGGGAGAAAGAUUUAUCGGGGAAGGAUGAGCCCGCGUUGGAUUAGCUAGUUGGUGGGGUAAAGGCCUACCAAGGCGACGAUCCAUAGCUGGUCUAAGAGGAUGAUCAGCCACAUUGGGACUGAGACACGGCCCAAACUCCUACGGGAGGCAGCAGUGGGGAAUAUUGGACAAUGGGCGCAAGCCUGAUCCAGCCAUGCCGCGUGAGUGAAGAAGGCCCUAGGGUUGUAAAGCUCUUUCAGUGGGGACGAUAAUGACGGUACCCACAGAAGAAGCCCCGGCUAACUUCGUG